rnacentral:pre_miRNA from 1 species
GUUGUAUUACCUCCGUCCUAAAUUAUUUGUCUUAGAUUUGUCUAGACACAGGUGUAUUUAUAACACUAUAACGUGUCUAGAUAUAGUGUUAGAUUCAUCUCUAUCUAGACAAACCUAAGACAAAUAGUUUGGGACAGAAGGAGUAGUAG